UUAAUUUAUUGACUUCCAAUGAAGAGUACAGCAAGAAAUAUUCACUUCUUUUUCUCCACCAGCUGGGAAUGGAACAUUUGUACAUCUAGGACUCAGCUUUGUGGGGGAAUCCAGGGUUCAGGCUUGAUUUGGCAGGCUCUAUAUGAAAUUUACACCUUCAUUCUAUGUUUGUUGUUCUUCAACUUGCUUCUCCUUAAGCUUAGUCCAGGGUAUCUAGGCUGUGACUACGCUGUUGAUUUUAUUUUCAUCCGAAAGACUUGUGGGCUUAAUGUUGCAUGUACAGAUAUAGGAAGCUCGUUGUGAUCAAGUGGAUAGAAAUGACAGCUGAAUCUGAUUAUAGGAACUGGUAUGGAACAUGAGCACAGCUUCUAGAGUCAACUAUUCUUUUCAAGUCAUGUAUUCUUCUGGUAGGUGAAGGAUUUAGUGAAGGACGAUAUGAUCAAGUUCACUGGGAAAGGGGGAAUUAAUGUUCUUUAGGGAGGGCUUAAUUAGGAUGCUGGAUUGGAAUAACUAUCAUGUUUCUGAAGACUAUAGCUAGAUAAUUGGAUGAGAGGUAGAAUUACAAUUGAAUUUUUCAGAAAAUCGUAUUUCCAUUGUGGUGAGCAACUGUCAGUUAUAGGAGGGUAGAGAUUCUUUCUUCCUUACAUGCAAAUAUCAUCAAUUUCCUCCUUCA